GACGAACGCUGGCGGCGUGCUUAACACAUGCAAGUCGAACGGAAAGGCCCCUUUGGGGGUACUCGAGUGGCGAACGGGUGAGUAACACGUGAGUAACCUGCCCUUGACUUCGGGAUAACUUCAGGAAACUGGGGCUAAUACCGGAUAGGAAUCCUUGCUGCAUGGUGGGGGUUGGAAAGCUUCGGCGGUUUUGGAUGGACUCGCGGCUUAUCAGCUUGUUGGUGGGGUAGUGGCUUACCAAGGCUUUGACGGGUAGCCGGCCUGAGAGGGCGACCGGCCACAUUGGGACUUAGGUACGGCCCAGGCUCCUACGGGGGGCAGCCGUGGGGAAUAUUGCACAAUGGGCGGAAGCCUGAUGCAGCAACGCCGCGUGCGGGAUGACGGCCUUCGGGUUGUAAACCGCUUUCAGCAGGGGCGAAGCUUGUGGUGACGGUACCUGCAGAAGAAGCACCGGCUAACUACGUG
rnacentral:rRNA from 1 species